AUACGAUUGAACGAUAGAAAUGUAAUAAAUUCUUUUGUACGAGUAAUCAAGUAUGAAUAAUUCAACUGAAAUGUCUUAUUAUUCAUGUUUCUGAUACAAACGACCGGAUGAAAUAAAUAUUCUGAUAUUUGGAGCGCGUGUAAUCGAUACAUUAAAUUCCACAAUUAUAAUGAUGUAUAUACUAUCUUUAAAAAAAUUUGUUUAUUUUUAAAAAUAGAAUGUUGGCAUAAACGAGCCGCGAAUAUUUAUGCUCUAAUUGACUCGUAACUGUCUUAAGUCUUCCGCAUAUCCCUCUAAAAAACAAAACAGUCCGUAAAAACACAACUUCAUCGCAAAUGAUUACCUCGUUGUUAGUUGGAGCACGAUUCAUUAAACAUGCUCUGCAAUUGUGCCUCGACUAUGUUAUGUAAUUUACCUUCUUUAAGGUUGUAAUUUUAAACGAAAACGUGCUUAAACAGUUUCACGAAUGUUCUUCUUCUUUCUCCUGUUUUUCCUAGCAGAAAAAACUCAUUCUUGUUCAUCCAUUCAAGAUGCGAACUUCACGCGAAUAAUUAGCCAUUCGGAUAAUAUUGGAUACGCUUCACAAUUAAAAUAGAUAAUUACCUUGCAUCGUAAUCUGGCUUUACGAUCUGAAUCUUGAUAUUUUAUGGAUCGAGUAAGAAAAACUAAUGAUGCGCCUCUGCAUAUUCGAAUGAAGAAAUAGAGAGUCAGUCGUAAAAAUUUAUUAUGAAUGGAUAUAUUUAAAUAAAUUCAAAAAUCUCGUACGAAUAAAUUUUCUCGAUGAAUAAUCAAUUAAAAUUCUCUCGAAUAAGAUAUUCAUAAUUUUUUUUCUUCCAUUUUUUCGUAGCGUUUUUUCGUGAUAUUCGUGGAAAAAAGAGAAUAAUAUAACGAAACUCAUUACCACGCGGUAAUUAUCCUGUCAAAAUAUCCAUUAAGACUUCAGAUGUCGUAAGCUUUGCUUUUCGAGUUUGCUGACUGGGAGAAGUUCCAUUUGGUUUGUCGGCAACUCGGUGCCUGCAACUCCGACGAACGCUCGAAAGUUUUGGAGUAAAUAAACCGGUGGCCAAACACGUGAGACAAUUUCGCGUGUCAAUUACGCGACUCUUCGAAUCCUUGGCUGAGCUAAAGGAUCGUCGGUGGUGGAUAGACGAGGAUAAACUAUCGGUUGGAAGAAAAGCUAAUUAAAGUGGUGCAUCCGCGGCCAGAAACCCGCAAAGAUCCACGACAAACGUACAGGAAAUCCGCCCCUUUAAACGCCGCGCUAAUGCCACGAUACAUCCACUCCUGAUGAUUCACAAUUAACCGUGUCUCUUGACGAGCAUCGUGGAGAAACGCUAUCAAGCUUGCUGCUAAUUAUCUCGAGCCGCCGUGUAUCAGAGCUUACGAACCAGAACCACGCCAAAUGUAACCACCUAGCAGUACGAGUUGUAACAACAUUCUCCAACGUCAUAUCUUCAUUUAAAACUGAUUCGAUACUUUGAGUUUCGUUACUUGAACUCGAUUUAACUUAAAGCUACACGUUUAAUAAUCAAGCUUGGUCGUUCACGUUGUACAAAAUAUUCAUGAUUCAAUUACUCUUCAACGGUCAAAGGAAAGACGGAAGAACUCAUAUUUUAUUAUUUAAAUUUAAAAAAAAAAGCUGUAGUUACAUUAUUCGAGCUACUUUCAAAAUUUAAACAUUUCCAUCAAUUCGAUCGUUCUCUAAAAACGUUAGAAAAGUCCUUUCUUCGAUCGCUAUUUAACUCUGCUCCGUCGAGACGCAUUCCUUACUUACAAUUAUACGAAACGCAAUAUAAUGAUCAAACCGCAGCGAAUUUAAUCGGCAUUUAAGGUUAAAAGGAAACGGUUUACUCGGUGGAUCGCGGCACGUAGGAAUAACAGGAAGCAAAGUCUAUAUUCAUCCUCCGUUUCGCCUCGUUUUCCAUCGGGUACACCGCACGUUUCGAAUAGUCAUUCCCGCGGAGGAAUAAGAUACAGGGCGGAAAGAAGCGGAAAGCCGUACCAGCCGUUUACGAACUCCCUUUACGGCCAACCACGGAUAUUACCGGGCACGAUGGCGAUUACGUUACUCUACAUACGUAGUUACACGUCGACGAGAUCUCUGCCUGCUUGGAUCGCACCUACCCGAGACCGUCCAGGAUUCGGCGGUCGCGCCUGACAAGACUCUUUUACUGGCCACUUUGCACCAACUGCGGGGAUAUCUAAUAAUAUCCCCGGCUACGAGUGUCCUCGAUUUUAAAAAAAACUCUGUCACGCGACGGCCGUAAUAAAAGGGACUGGGAAUCGUGAAAAUUGUGGGGGAGGAUGAAAAGCGUGGAAAAAGCAGCGUUGGCGAGCCUUCUAUUUCUAUGAAAUCGUGGACAAUUCGAUUAAAUGAUAUCCGACACGCAUCUUCUACAGGAAAAUGUUGAUGUAUUUUAAAAUUAUACCUCUAUAUUCUCUCGUUGAACCGUGAUGUAAGCUUCGUAUUUUUUUUUUUUUUGUCAAGAACAGCAAGUUUUUGGUUCUUCGGUGAAGGGUGGAUCGGUGGUGUAAACGUGAUUUUGAUCAAACUACCAUCCUUCGAUGGUAUAACGUCAUCGAGGUUGUAAUUUUCUGGCAGCAAUGGUUCAGAACGGCCACAAAGGAGCCACCCUUGUACGUUUCCUCUGAUGUGAUCGCGUUAUCUGGCCUAUUAAGCGGCCCGUUAAACGAGGUUUCACGAUCAUCUUGAGUUCACAUCGUCUUCGGGAACGAUCGUGCCCAUCAUCAGGGGCCGUUUACAACCGAUUACGUGCCCAAUGAUCUCGCGUGAUUAAACGUGACACACGCGUGCCGUUAGCAAUGGGAAGUAAAAGCGGCGAACACCGGUUUAAACUGGUCCGAUACGAUCUAUCCGUGCGCAUAUAUAUAGUUCGAUCGUAAUGAUGAACCGAUAGCAAAAAUGUUACAACGAAAAUACCCUUUACACGGGAUUAUCAUAGCUCUCGAUCGAGCGAACGUUUCGUUUAUAGCACGCGUGCCGUGUAAAUUGCCCACCGUUUCAAUCUGCUACAAUCUGAAACACGAAAAUUUGCAAACUCGCGUCAACGACUAUCUAUCUAUUCUCGCGUAUAUACAGGGGAAAAAAGGGGUAAAAAUUCUCUCGAAAUCUCGUGGACAUUAGUCAACGUCGAAACGAGUGUGCGUCGAAUCCCAUCGGGCGGCACUUCUUUUUCUUCUCCCCUUUCAUUCGUAUGUCAACCGUGGCACAGAGAGAAAAAAGGAAGGGAGCUUCGACCUUCGACGAGUCGAUCCGUGAAACUUUCGCAAUAUUGGUCGAAACAUUCCCGGAUUAUUGCCUCCUUGUCCUGUAAACCAGCCCUCCCAAGUAGAUUCGGUGACCGACUAUACGCGAGAUUCGCGUUUUGUAUUCAGAAAGCGUGUCGCGCAACGUGGCAUCUGCCCGCGCCCCUUACCACGUUGUCGAAAUAUUCUCAAUACCUGAACACUCCCCCUUGAUGUAUCGCCUAUUGUCCUCGUGGAAUUGCGAAUAAUCGUAUCCAUUCGUCCAGGAAUUUUUACAUUACGAACUAAGUGGGAGAAAAAAAAAAAUAAUACCAAAAUGGAACGUUUGCGGUAAAUUUCAUCGAAGGGGGGGGUUGGAAUUUAUUUUUCCACGCUCGAAUCCCCUCCUCUCCGAAUAAACCGAGACAAUCGAGAGACAAUGUUAUCGGGCAGUCGUUUCUUCGUGGAAUUAAUUCCACGAGCUCGUGGGGAUCGAACAAGCUCGCGCAAGAACGACGAUAUUUCAAAGCAAGUGAAAAGCUGCCGAUACAAUGGCGCAACCACGACGUCGAGCCGCACCGGAACCUUGUCUCUCCUUUGCGCUACUAAAUAAAUUAGACUCAGUCACGCCCAAUUGGGGUUUCCGUGCACGAUUUUUCACGGAAGCCGCACUAACGCUUCGCAGAAACACCCGCACACGCCACACACACACACUCGUGUAAAUCGUUCGCAUCAUGAUAUCCUUCUCCUCGCAUUUUUGUAUUUCUUUAUUCCGUAUUUACGAUUUUACACGGGUAUCGUUUACAUAAUUGCGCGUGCAUGCAUACACAGGCGUAUAUCGAAUAAACGGAUCUUCCCUGGUAAUACGUUCGUGUUUGUAAAUUUUUGUUGUAUACACGAAAACGUAAUAUAUAUAUAUAUAUACACACAUUACACGCAUAUUUACGCGAACGAUAUCCACGGAACGAAAAGGAAACGGUCCCGCUAUCCGCAAGGGAUUUGAGAAAUACGCGAAUGCAUACAGAGCGAACAGUUACCGCAAAUCCACCGAUUGAGCUUUCGCUGAAAGUCUGCUCAUGGGGAAGAAGCGGAGACGGCCGCUUCCGUUGGCUGAACUAUAACCGUAGAAAUCUCUCUCCUUCGCUCUGUUUCACCUUUCUCUCCGGGGCGAAUGUAAAUUUCUCGCAAACCCUUCGGUAACAGGUUCAUUUGUACGGAGAAAACGCAGCUAGCGGGAAUAAACGAAUAACCGUGAGGAUGAAAAUCUGUGUUGCGUCUCGAGCGAGAAUUUAUUGCGUCCAAUAUUCCCCGACUUCUUUAUGAGAAUGAAAACGAGGCAGGCCCGCUGUCGGUUUAAUCAAGCUGUUGCUAAUUCGAACCGCUGCGAAUUUCCAACUCUCUUUUAUCCCGAUUCGAUACGAAUUCAAUUUGACAAAAAAAAAAAAAAAAAUCAUCGAAAGUAAUAGCGCGAAAUUUUUCCGCUCGAGAGACAACUCGACAAGACGAGUCGUUUGGGAUUAGAUCGUUCGAUAUGUCGGUUGGGAGGGGGAAAUAAAGUGGAAUCCAAUCGAUCAUUAUCCUUAAUCCAUCGUCUGCGCUGCACAGAGGAGCGGGUGGAAAUCGGUUGUUUGCAGGCCUGCCCGUGGCUUAAGGAUUGCACCAAGGGUUGAGGAUGUGCGGCUCGAGUCUUAGAGCAAUGGAGGGUGCGGCUGGUGUAGCAUGAUCCUCUCUAAGCCAAGGCUAAGAGGCUAUUAGUUAGCUCUGCGAGUAGCAACGUAACCCCAAAGACUAACACGGUACUUACACCUUCCCGCUUCGUAGAGAUCGCAAGAUAUUCGACCAACUAGUUUCUCCUAGUACGUUUGCACAACGUGAGAGGUGAGACCGGUAUAUUUUCGCCCUCGUCGGCCAACACAAGACGAUAAGAAAUUAAUAUUGAAACAAACUUUGCGAGCAUCGAUUCUUACUGUUCGUCCUCCAAUUAUAGAUACCAUCAACUGUUCCGAGAUUACAUGUAAAUGAAUUCUCAACGGGAGGGAAGAGCUUGGUCGAAGGAAAAUUAAUUCAGAGGAGAGGGGAGGGAGAGGAGGAGGAGGAAAAGAAGAAGAAAGAAAAUCAGAGCGGCAAUUCGAUGCGAUUCCUUCCUAUUUUUUGCCAUUUUUUAUUUUUAUUUUGUACCUAUAUUUAUUUAUUUUUUGCAGGUAGAAAAUUCAAAGAUCGACUUCGAGGAGAGAAUGAAGGAUAAUCGCGGUAUCAAAUUCAUAACAAUUAUUCGCGAGACUUGGAAUAAUAAUAUUUCUCGUAUUCCAUUCACGUCACUUGUAAAUUUCAUGUAAAACAUAUUCCGACAGGAUGAAUACUAUUACGAAUCGACAAACUAUCGAGGAGCCAUGCAUUAUGCACAACUCCCGUAGAAGUCCGUCGCAAGCAUCUAAUCUCGCCCCUUUGACCCCUUUCCCCGCGGCAUUUAACCCAUAUACCUCUCCGUACAUCAGGAAAUCUCCGCAAAGCCGAUUAGUAGUCGGAGCACGUCCGUUAUUAGCCAUUCGGCCGGAUGUGGUCUAAAACUACUGAAAUCAAACUUCCCUCCAAAACGAUCCUCAUUGCUGAUUUAUACCACGACUCGAGCUACAUUUUGCCCUUCAACAAUACGUUUUACAAUUUUGACGCUGAAUGAAUGAAAGAGUUGGAGAAUUUCACUCGUUACGAGAAAGAAUUUCAAAAUUUCACCGUUAUGCAAAGUAAUUCCCCAUCUCCGCUUAUCAAUCAUAAAACGGCGCUGUACGGUAAAAAUCCAGAAGUCCUGGCGAGAGAGAUUAGAGAAAAUUACGAAAAUGUGUACGAGCCUAAAACGCGGAUUAAAUGAAACACCGUCCAAUGCAGACAUUUCCUAGGCAAUUAUAGCGAGCUCGCGUUUCGUCAAAAAUAAGGUCCAAAUGGCGCAAAAUAAAUGCCAGAAUGGCUGGCUCGCAUGCACCUGCAAAUGGAUCUGAAUUAAUUAAAUUAAUGCCCGGUUCGUAGCGAUGGUGGGUCAUUGGAACCGCGAUCGAAACCAUAUAGCGUAUAAAAUGGUACGGUCCAUCCAAGAUUAUAACGUAACUAUCUCUUUGUUACAGGCCAUUGUUAUUUGAACUUUUUCCACGUAAUGGAAUUCGCAACUUUUUCCUUUUUCCAACGAUCAAAAAAUAUCAAAACGAAAAAAAAGAAAACUUCUCGUCGCUUUUAAACGUUCUUCAUUCCUUCGCGCUUUAUCGAACUGAAAACGAAACGAACGACCGGAUGAAUUUUUGACCGGCUGAACUUGUCCGAUAAGAAGAGAUAGAAACGAGGAUGGCGGGAAUCGAUAUUUGUUGCCGAUUUUCGGCACGUACGACAACAAAUUUUCGGGUUCCCGCCCCUUCGAGUUUAUUCGCGAAUGCACGUUUAGCAAGAAUACCAGGCCUGCACCGGGAAACUAUGAUAAGGGGUGAACCGGAAAACGUUAAGUUUAGGAACAAACGCGAUCGUAAAAGUUGCAAACUUGAAGCUACGCUGGCCGACGAAGCGAAAAGCUGGCAGAGCUGGCACUAAAUAUGAAUCAUAAAAGAAGCAUAAAGAUAAUUGUAUGCUAAUAGGAGGAGCGUAUGCGCCACGUCGCCCAGAACAGCUCAACAUCUACCGUUAUUAUCUACGUAGCUGCGUUACACCAUCCACACAACUCAACCAUUUCUCUACAAUUUCUGCGAUACGACGUUGACGCGAGCUAAUUCUGUAUGGUCAAGCAUUCCAAAAGCAGUCGUGUCAGAAGAAUUACGAAGAAUUAAUCCUUUUUUGUUUCUAUUUAACGGUCUUUAAAAAGAGCGUUCGUUCUUUUUUUACAAUUCUAAUUAGUUUCCAUUUUAUUUUAAAAUAUCAAGAAUUAUAAGAACUUUCAAUCAUUAUUUUUAUUAUUUUCUAAAAUUGGAGAUAUUCGAGAGAAUAUCGAGAUUGUUACUCUACUUGAUCGAUACAAUCAAUAGUGCGGCGAAAUGUACGCGAUAAAUCAAACGAUAAACUUACGACAAUUCAAAUUUCACGAGAAUUCAACCUCAUUUAUUCGAACGAUUAAUCUCGCUGAAAGGAUUAUUCCCGUAACUUUGGAAAAUUUCUGUAAAACCGUUCGAACUUCGAAACGAAGCCUCGAAUUCGUGCUAAAAAGCAAGCGGGGAAACAAGCAGAGGAAUUUAUCGCUUUGAAGAAAAUGUUCAACUAUGUCCAGGAACAAUUUGGGAUCCCUUUCUCCCGCCCUCCUGAAGAACAAUGGAAAAGCUUGGAAUGGAAAAGAAUAAUGGAUAAUAUAGAGCGGGGCAGCGACCGGGAAUAAUAUGUGGAGUGUGGUUUUUCACGAGCUCGUGAAUCGAGAAGCGGGAAAUCAAGAAGGAUCUUCUUGACCGUGUCGCCGACUUUUACAGUCGAUCGUCCCGAGAGCUUUUACGAGCCUUGACGAGAAAGUACCGUCACGAUGUGUAAACCAUGAGCCUUUUCGACAGUCGCUCCAGCCUUUGAAGCUCUCCUUUUCUUCCGCCCGCUCGAGCUAAGCGAAUGGAAAAUGGAAGAGGCAAGGGCAGCCUUGAAAAUCGUGGAUCCCUUCUCGUGGAGAGUGGCUUUUUAAACAACUCGUCAGAUAUUCUCUCACCACGGUGGAUUUAUCAUCGAGAAUCAAAUUUUUUUCCCGACCAUGUCGCGAAAAGCGACGGUUAGCCGGGGCGGAUGAAUUGGUUAAUGGUAUAAAGUUUUCGAGAUGGAUCGAAUGGAAUGGGGAAGCAAUUAAACAGAGUGGAAGGACAUUAACAGUUGGAUAACAAGCGAUCCUUUGUCUCUGCCUUCCACCGCGGGAUAAGGAAGCAGCCUAAUCGAAUUUUCCGAAACUUGUUACGAACCGAUUUACCAUAGCGGCUCUCCUUUGAACGCGCGGCCCGAAAAUAGCCGAGCGAGAAUUGGCAGGCAAUUAAAGAUGAACAAUGCAACCGCUAUGUCAUCCGCCACGAAGCUAAUAUAUCUCGGGCGCAAGGUUUUACUCCCCCCCUCCACUCGUUCCCGAUUCACCGGGCCGAGAGAACUCUUCAAGUUUCCGGGUGCAAUUUUGCGUUCCAACCGAAGUGGCACGAAGACGGGCCCCCCCGGUUGUAAUAAAAGUAAGGCAAAGGGGAAAACUGCCACUUUGUCCUCAAAGCGCGGAACGUCACGUGCAAGCAAUAGCCACAGGCAAGCUUUAUAGGGACAAACGAGGCCACUUUAAUUUACGAAACUUGCUCGACAUGCACGCCGCCGAGCAGAGAACGGUUGAUUUACUAACGGGGGAGGAAAA
rnacentral:lncRNA from 1 species